rnacentral:lncRNA from 1 species
CACAGUCAUUAGAGAUAAUUAAGAUAUGUCAUAUGUAUUUACAGCUUUAAUUAACAUCUGUCAUACAUGUAGGUUUUCCCACCUUUAAUUAAAAUCUAUUAUGUUUUUCUCAGCUUUAACGACCAUGUCAUGGCCAUUUUCAACUUUAUUUAAAAUUUAUUAUGGUUUUUUCUCAGCUUUAACCACUAUGUCAUGGCCAUUUUCCACUUAAAUUAAAAUCUGUUGUUUUUUAACAGCUUUAACGACCAUUUUAUGGCCAUUUUCCACUUUUAAUUAACUUCUGCCAUGGGUAUGUUUUUUAUUAGCUUCAACUAAUUCAUAUUCAUUUACAGCUUUAAUUAACAUUUGCUAAUUUGCUAUAGGUAUUUUUAUCUUUAAUUAAGAUCUGUCAUGGUUUUGUUUGCCAUUAAUUAACAUUUAUCAUGGGUACUUUUACCUUUAAAAAAGAUCUGUCAUGGUUUCGUUCACCUUUAAUUAACUAACAUCUAUCAUGGGUACUUUAAUUUACCUUUAAUUAAUAUCUGUCAUUGUUUUGUUCACCAUUAAUUAACAUUUAUCAUGGGUAAUUUUAUCUUUAAUUAAGAUCUGUCAUUGUUUUGUUCACCAUUAAUUAACAUUUAUCAUGGGUAAUUUUAUCUUUAAUUAAGAUCUGUCAUUGUUUUGUUCACCAUUAAUUAACAUUUAUCAUGGGAACUUUUACCUUUAAUUAAGAUCUGUCAUGGUUUUGUUCCCCAUUAAUUAACAUCUAUCAUGGGUACUUUUACCUUUAAUUAAGAUCUGUCAUGGUUUCAUUCGCCACUAAUAAACAUCUAUCAUGGGUACUUUACCUUUAAUUCAAAUCUUUUAUUGGUUUAAAGCUUUAACUAAUAUGUCAUAAGUACAACAAACACAUCAAGAAGCAAUUUGGUUAACAGGUAUAAUACUGCAUGUGUAGUGGAUAAAAUCGAUAUUAAUUAACAAGUUUUAACUUUUGUUACAGUUAAGUUUUUU